rnacentral:rRNA from 1 species
GAUGAACGCUGGCGGCGUGCCUAAUACAUGCAAGUCGAGCGAACAGACGAGGAGCUUGCUCCUCUGACGUUAGCGGCGGACGGGUGAGUAACACGUGGAUAACCUACCUAUAAGACUGGGAUAACUUCGGGAAACCGGAGCUAAUACCGGAUAAUAUAUUGAACCGCAUGGUUCAAUAGCGAAAGACGGUUUUGCUGUCACUUAUAGAUGGAUCCGCGCCGCAUUAGCUAGUUGGUAAGGUAACGGCUUACCAAGGCAACGAUGCGUAGCCGACCUGAGAGGGUGAUCGGCCACACUGGAACUGAGACACGGUCCAGACUCCUACGGGAGGCAGCAGUAGGGAAUCUUCCGCAAAGGGCGAAAGCUUGACGGAGCAACGCCGCGUGAGUGAUGAAGGUCUUCGGAUCGUAAAACUCUGUUAUUAGGGAAGAACAAAUGUGUAAGUAACUAUGCACGUCUUGACGGUACCUAAUCAGAAAGCCACGGCUAACUACGUG